GAUGAACGCUGGCGGCGUGCUUAACACAUGCAAGUCGAACGGUGAAGCCCAGCUUGCUGGGUGGAUCAGUGGCGAACGGGUGAGUAUCACGUGAGCAACCUGCCCUGGACUCUGGGAUAAGCGCCGGAAACGGCGUCUAAUACUGGAUAUGAGACGUGGCCGCAUGGUCAACGUUUGGAAAGAUUUUUCGGUCUGGGAUGGGCUCGCGGCCUAUCAGCUUGUUGGUGAGGUAAUGGCUCACCAAGGCGUCGACGGGUAGCCGGCCUGAGAGGGUGACCGGCCACACUGGGACUGAGACACGGCCCAGACUCCUACGGGAGGCAGCAGUGGGGAAUAUUGUACAAUGGGCGGAAGCCUGAUGCAGCAACGCCGCGUGAGGGAUGACGGCCUUCGGGUUGUAAACCUCUUUUAGCAAGGAAGAAGCUUUUGUGACGGUACUUGCAGAAAAAGCGCCGGCUAACUACGUGCCAGCCGCCGCCGUAA
rnacentral:rRNA from 1 species